rnacentral:rRNA from 1 species
UACGUAGGGUGCAAGCGUUAAUCGGAAUUACUGGGCGUAAAGCGUGCGCAGGCGGUUUUGUAAGUCUGAUGUGAAAUCCCUGGGCUCAACCUGGGAAUUGCAUUGGAGACUGCAAGGCUAGAAUCUGGCAGAGGGGGGUAGAAUUCCACGUGUAGCAGUGAAAUGCGUAGAGAUGUGGAGGAACACCGAUGGCGAAGGCAGCCCCCUGGGUCAAGAUUGACGCUCAUGCACGAAAGCGUGGGGAGCAAACAGG